CGUAGGGCAAGCGUUGUCCGGAAUUAUUGGGCGUAAAGCGCGCGCAGGCGGCCUCUUAAGUCUGAUGUGAAAGCCCACGGCUCAACCGUGGAGGGCCAUUGGAAACUGGGAGGCUUGAGUACAGGAGAGGAGAGUGGAAUUCCUGGUGUAGCGGUGAAAUGCGUAGAGAUCAGGAGGAACACCAAUGGCGAAGGCAGCUCUCUGGCCUGUAACUGACGCUGAGGCGCGAAAGCGUGGGAGCAAACAGGAUU
rnacentral:rRNA from 1 species